rnacentral:sRNA from 1 species
AAACACACACACCAUCGUCAGUGUGUGGAGGAUAUCUAAUUGGACUACAAGACAUAUAACUUCCGGUUGUUGGUCAGUUGACACGGUGACCAUUAUUUUUGGGGUUUAAAACCGUGCCAUGUCGGGGAUUUCCUUGACCGGGGAAUUCCUCAAGCCUCCUCCACAAACAGAUGUCGACAAUGAUUUGUUAACACUUGUGAACUUACAAGCUCUCGGCAAUAUCGUGUAGCAAUCUGUUCGGUUCCUGGCUUUGUCCAAGAGGAUGAUGUUUUUUAUUAUCCCGUGACCAUGUUAACUAACUCUCUAUAGUACUUUGCUCACACUAGUCACACAGCUCUUUCAUGCCUUGAAGAAUCAACAUCGGUCCAAGAUUAUCGCAUUAUUCAAAUAUGAUCUCGUCCAUUUAGAAGUGCAGUCCUGCAGUGUUUAGUUGGAUUAUUUACCACUUAACAGGACUGCGUGCUGUCUUCAUUGCGUUUUACUCCUGGGAAAAAGGAAGUGGUGGGGAUGUAACUUAAUUGAUCCAAGAAAAGCUUUAUUACGUUUAUAAGUCCUCUUUAAUAUUCUGGUCAGGGUUUUCCCAACCCUCAGUGUGAACCUCCACUGAUAAACAAAUAUUUACAGCAGGCAAAGAUGAUUUACUUUUAGUCGCUCUAAGAUAUCAAAAUGGAAUUUUGUUGUUGUUUCAUUCGGGUAAAUGUGUGGCUCAUACUUAAUCGCUUCUCAAAUGAACAUGUUUAAAGUAAAUAUUUUACUGUGGGAUUAAAAAAGUAUU